rnacentral:rRNA from 1 species
AUUGAACGCUGGCGGCAUGCCUUACACAUGCAAGUCGAACGGCAGCGCGGGGCAACCUGGCGGCGAGUGGCGAACGGGUGAGUAACAUAUCGGAACAUACCCUAGAGUGGGGGAUAACGUAGCGAAAGUUACGCUAAUACCGCAUACGCACUAAGGUGGAAAGUGGGGGAUCUUCGGACCUCAUGCUCAUGGAGUGGCCGAUAUCUGAUUAGCUAGUUGGUGAGGUAAAGGCUCACCAAGGCGACGAUCAGUAGCUGGUUUGAGAGAACGACCAGCCACACUGGAACUGAGACACGGCCCAAACUCCUACGGGAGGCAGCAGUGGGGAAUCUUGCGCAAUGGGCGAAAGCCUGACGCAGCCAUGCCGCGUGGAUGAUGAAGGUCUUAGGAUUGUAAAUCCUUUCAGCGGGGACGAUAAUGACGGUACCCGCAGAAGAAGACCCCGGCUAACUUCGUGCCAGCAGCCGCGGUAA